CUAGGCAACUUGUAUCUAUUAUAGGUCUUUUUUAUUUUAGCUUCCCUCCUUGGGGAGGUCGGCUUUAAUAAAAAGGUGUAAAACUAUCUUAGAUCUUUUUGCAUAUAUCGGGGGAUUUGCGUAAGAUUCUAUUGGUGAGUAUUCGCACUCGGAAGGGCAAUGAUGAAUGUUGAAUUAUCGGACAUAGUACGCUAAGGUUGUAUGUCUAAAGGGAAACAGCCCAGAACAAGAGUUAAGGUUCCAAAAUUAAUGUUAAGUGAAAUUAAGGAAGUUCCUAUUAAAUACGACUAGGAAAUAGGCUUAGAAGCGGCCAUUUUUUGAAGACCUCGUAACAGAGCACUGGUUUAGUAAAUUAAAAUUUACAUUUAUAGAGGGCGCCGAAAAUUUAACGGAUCUAAACAAUAUACCGACACCUUGUCCGCAUUUACAAGAGUAAAUUUUGCUCUGGUUCUUGUGGGGUAGCAGAACGUUGGGUAGAUAUAUCACUUUAUCUUUUCAAGAUAAAGGAGGGCGGCCUUCUCAGACUAUACAAAUGGAGGAGGAGAAGGAUUUUAACGUAAAAAAGGUUAUCAAAAACGAUAGGUCAAACCGUAGGUCAAAUAAUAGGUCACUGACUUAAAAGUAUAUCCCAAGUGAGAAUGCUGACAUGAGUAACGAAAAAGGGUAAAACCUCGCCUUAAGCUUAUGGUUUUUAUUAAAGUAACGGCCUCUAAGUUUACAAACCUAAAGGAUAAAACGAUGAGAAAAUCUGAAAUACUAGUAACANCCUUUAUUUAAGUGAUAAAGUGUUCUGGAAAAACUAGUAAAAAAAGUCUAAUGGGCUAAUGUGCUAUUUAGAUGGNCAAUAAACUAAAGAGAUGAGAAAGUCUGUAAUAGUGAUGUACCGUACCUAGAAACUACC
rnacentral:rRNA from 1 species